AGGGAUGUAGCUCAGUGGUAGAGUACUUGCCUUGCAUGCAUGAGGCUCUGGGUUCAAACCUCAACACUGCAA
rnacentral:tRNA from 1 species